UUGAUGGAGAGUUUGAUUCUGGCUCAGAACGAACGCUGGCGGCGUGGAUAAGACAUGCAAGUCGAACGGGAGAAUUGCUAGCUUGCUAAUAAUUCUCUAGUGGCGCACGGGUGAGUAACACGUGAGUAACCUGCCUCUUAGUGGGGGAUAGCCCUGGGAAACCGGGACUAAUACCGCAUACGAUUGAAAGAUCAAAGCAGCAAUGCGCUAGGAGAUGGGCUCGCGGCCUAUUAGUUAGUUGGUGAGGUAACGGCUCACCAAGGCGAUGACGGGUAGCCGGUCUGAGAGGAUGUCCGGCCACACUGGAACUGAGACACGGUCCAGACACCUACGGGUGGCAGCAGUCGAGAAUCAUUCACAAUGGGGGCAACCCUGAUGGUGCGACGCCGCGUGGGGGAAUGAAGGUCUUCGGAUUGUAAACCCCUGUCAUGUGGGAGCAAAUUAAAAAGAUAGUACCACAAGAGGAAGAGACGGCUAACUCUGUGCCAGCAGCCGCGGUAAUACAG
rnacentral:rRNA from 1 species